rnacentral:rRNA from 1 species
ACUCCUACGGGAGGCAGCAGUAGGGAAUCUUCCACAAUGGACGAAAGUCUGAUGGAGCAACGCCGCGUGAGUGAUGAAGGUUUUCGGAUCGUGAAACUCUGUUGUAAGGGAAGAACAAGUACGAGAGGUAAUGCUCGUACCUUGACGGUACCUUGCGAGAAAGCCACGGCUAACUACGUACCAGCAGCCGC